CAUUUUCUUCUUCCCUUCGACCUUCUUUUGUUGAUCCUUUAUCACUCUUUUUGCUAUUCUCUGUGUUCUGCCGUUGCUGCUCGCGACCGACUCCCUACAAUUUGCUCGUUUUUGCCUUUCUGGUAAGCUUCCCCAACUUCUGUUUCUUAUUACUUUGUUAUUGACCUUUGGCUCUAUUUUGUCCAACAGAGUUUGUGUACGUGUUCAGUAGAUGAAGCAAAAAAGAAAGUUGAUCUUUUUUGGUCCAAUAUUUAUGUUUUCCAUAUUUCUCUUCGGAUAUUAUGUGGAGCUAAAAGGCCUACCUUUUGUUUUUCAUAAUUUGAAUGACGAAUCAGAGAAAUUUGUAUUUGAAGUCCAACUGGAAUAGGUGAAAUUUCACCUUGUGCUUUGUAAAUUAUAAAUGCCAUAUAUAGGAUCACGACGAUUUUUCAUACCAAUUAAAAUAUGCCCUGCUUCACGGUGGUAUAAAAUAAUCACAAGUGCAAAUUGUCAUGGCCUGUUGUCCACAUUCAAGAAAGUUGAGCUUUCUUUUAGUCAGCCUAAUUCCUAUAAUGCAAUAUGUUUUUUGAGCGUAUCCCCAUCUGUAGUCUAAUUAAUUAUAUUCUAGUAUUAAUUUUUAAGUAUAGGAGUCAUGCACAUGUCUAUCUUGAGUGAGCGAAUUCUAAUAUGUUUUAGAUGUUGGAUCUAUUUGAUUUUCCUUUGCCUUUUGCUUGGAACUUGUUCUGCACCUCAGUAUUUAAGUUGAACAACAUAUAUAGUUGAUGAAAAGAAUGAGUGCUUCAUCACAUAUCCAUCCGAAAAUAAAUAUAGUUGCUUUGAUGUUUUAGCAGAGCUUCACGGGUCACACGCAUCUAGUACAAUUACAAGAAUGAUGUUGAAUCAUAAUAAGUGAAACUCUAUCAGUUGUGAGUGCCAAUCUGUACUAAGAACAUAAGCAUUGUAGCUCACAGUAACCAAUUGUCACCUAUGUUUGCGCGGACUCUCCAAAAUGUAGCCGCAUCCGUGUCGGAUCAUUCAAAAAUGCACUACUUUGGGAGGAUCUGACACGUAUCCGGCCACAUUUUCAGAGAGUCCGAGCAACAUAGAUUGUCACAACAUCUGUAGGGGGUUGGGUGGGGGAGCAUGGGCUGGGGAAAGAGAUAGCUGGACCACAGCGGCCUCUCGGGUGGCCUUAAGCCAAAUCUUAGCAAGAUGCCUUAACUUUUAUAUAAUUAUAUACAUAAGUUUUUUUUUUUUUGUAUAUGUAUAAUUAUAUAUAUAUAUGAGUUUUGCUAACCUACAACAUGCCUCUAGUAGGUUAGCAUUGUACCAACUUUUUAUUUAUACAAUGUAAGUGUAAAUUUUCUUGGAACAACUUCUAGAAGGCAACACCUUGUGCAACAAAAUAGUUCUGUUGCAUAAGUGUUGGAGGAAAUAUUUUACAAGCUUCUAAGUCACCAUAGAUCCAAGAUCCCAUAAUAGUAGGAGCAGACUAUUUAUAUAUAAUUUUAACCCUUUGAAUAAGCAGCCGAAGUCAUGGUUAAUGGGUGAAAUCCAUGAUGAAGACUUGCUUUCCACACUUUCUCAAUAUCAAGCACCAUGUCACCACAUU
rnacentral:lncRNA from 1 species